rnacentral:rRNA from 1 species
AACGAACGCUGGCGGCAUGCCUAACACAUGCAAGUCGAACGAGACCUCCGGGUCUAGUGGCGCACGGGGGCGUAACGCGUGGGAACCUGCCCUUAGGUACGGAAUAACUCCCCGAAGGGGGUGCUAAUACAGGAUAAUGUCUUCGGACAAAGGAUUUAUCGCCUUUGGAUGGGCCCGGGUUGGAUUAGCUGGUUGGUAGGGUAAAAGCCUACCAAGGCGACGAUCCAUAGCUGGUUUGAGAGGAUGCUCAGCCACACUGGGACUCAGACACGGCCCAGACUCCUACGGGAGGCAGCGGUGGGGAAUAUUGGACAAUGGGCGAAAGCCUGAUCCAGCAAUGCCGCGUGAGUGAUGAAGGCCUUAGGGUUGUAAAGCCCUUUUACCCGGGAUGAUAAUGACAGUACCGGGAGAAUAAGCUCCGGCUAACUCCGUG